AGGGGGCGCGCUGAUAUUGGAACGUUUGUAUAACGAAAAGUAGGAAAACGUGUACGGUCCUUAUUUCCGGUUGCGGAGUGUUAGCGGUUUGGGCUUCCAGUUAGCGUUCAAGUCAAAAACCUGGGCACUGUGGUUACGUCUUAUUGUUUUGAAUGAAACCCAUCCUACUGCAGGGCAUGAACGGUCCACCACAACGGAGAAGGAGACCAUAAAAAAUCCAGUGGCCAACAUGUGGUACUCAGUACCUGCAACGGACACACGGGAGCUGUGAGGUGCAUCGACCGUGACUGUAUCCUUUGAUGCCAUUUAGCUCGGUAUGCUGCCGUGUCUUCACCAGGGAUGUCAUAAGUUGAUAUCACUAAUAAUUAAUAUGAAGGCCCCUAACAUUUAGUAGCAUCAGAAAAUAUAACAAAUGUGAAGGUGAACUCAAACAAUAAACAAGGGAAGACUGGCAUACUGCAACAAUGUUAUGACAUUAAAAGUUAUGUUAUCGUGCAACAGCACAGUGUUGUGAAACCAAUAAAAGCAUAAUUGUAAUAUUGUGAUUAAUUGUA